GGAUUUAGAAAAGUUUUGGAUUCAUCUGUUUAUGAGGAGGAAAAGAGGCCAAGAAAAGGCAGCAAUUUGUCCAUGUGCUUAAUUAGUGAGUGGCAGUGGCAGUAACCUGGUCUGCUGAGCUCCCUGGACUCCCUGAUCCCAGCUCAAAAUAGUUUCCAGUUUUCAUCUGCCAGUUGCUUCGGAGGCUUUUCUAAGGAAGACAGUUCAUAAAAUGACCCAGAAUUCAUCCUCCUUAGGUGAUAGGAUCAUUACUCCUUAUACACCCCCUAGGUCUCAGCCUAUGAACAAACACUUGUUUGUUUCUCUGUCUACCCUGUUCCAAACCACCGAACUGGAUUUUGCCAACAAGAAGAGCUGUUUCCUGUGCCUGCCCCUGAGAGCUGAUGGCUUCCCAGAGAUGCCUCACAGUCCUGCGCAGACAGAGAGAAUGCAGAAGCUGGCAAAGGAUCCUCCACACGCAAGAUCAGAGGACGUCCCAGAUCAUCUUUUCUUUGUGGAUACUGCAGGUCUACGUGAAAUAGUGUGUUUUUGCGGGGUGCUGUCCCUUAGGACAAGUGAAGGGCUGAUGAGAAAGGAAACUGCGUGAGGUAUCACAAAGCCAUCCAUGGGGCAGCCUAUGAAAGUAUGUUCACACGGAGGGAAAAUAUCAGUGUUCAUAUAUCCCUUUUAGUGCUGCCUUCCCUUUUCCACUCCCACACCACCCCCAAAACAUUUUAAAAAGUUAGUUUUGGAAGACUGACUUUGUCUUAUUCUAAAAUGUGUGCACAGUAACAGAAGUGAGAAAGUCAUUCCAGUCUUCAUCUAGUCACCUGAGUCACAACUUUAAUGCAGCUUCUUUUUGUUCCUCAAUCUUUGAUUACAUAAUCAUUUGCAAAAAUACACUCCUGAAAUGAAAUCACAGUUAGCCUUGCAUUUUGGAGUAGUAUUAGAAUUAAGACUUGCCAUCAAAGAGGUUGCCAUCUAGAAUGUUUAUUCUCUUUACUGUGCCCCAGGGGUUUUACAUGCAUUUGCAACUUUAUUUUUAUUUUAUCCUACAGGAAAAAAGGCUCAGAGUGAAUGGCUAUUAGCCUAAGGUUACUCAGCUAGUGAUAUAGGAGUUAAGAAGAAAUUAUUUAGGCAGAUAGUGAGGGUACUGGAGUCCUCAGAAAGGUUUUCCUUUUAAUGAAAAGCAGCCCCAAAAUCAUUUUCUUUUCUAACAAAGAGCAGCCUGUAAAAUCGAGCUGCAGACAUAGACAAGCAAGCUAGAAGCUUGCACAGGCGAAUGCCUGCAGUUGUGCCAACAGGAAAAGGCUACCUGGAACUAGGCAUGUUCAAAAUGGCAGCUCUGUCUUCUCUUCUCUUUGCCAGCCAGGUGUACAGUAAGGAGCAGACAACAUGGCACUGGCCAAGUGGAAAGGCUGUUUGCAUAAUAAGAUUACGAUGGGGUGGCCUGCCUUCCCUGUGUGCUACGUAAACAUCACACCUGAUCCAACCAAUCUGCAGGCCCUACAUAAAUCAGACACCGCCUCCUCCAGCCUGCCUAUAAAAUCUGGUACACUCCACGUGGGCCAGAAGUCCCAUUUGGAUGCCCCUCUCUUUCGCAAGAGAGAGAGCUGUUCUCCUUUCUCUUUCUUUUGCCUAUUACAUUCCGCUCCUAAAGUCACUUCUCAUGUAUGUCCACGUCCUUAAUCUUCUUGAUGCAAGACAAUGAACCCGGGUAUUUACCCCAGACAACAACACCACUUCACUAGGAGUUAAAAGAACUUGAAAUGCAAAUUCAUGGUCAUCUGGUUCCAAAGCCCAUAUUAACAAAAUUUUUUUAAUUGUGAUAAAAUACACAUAACAUAAAGUUGACCGUGUUAACUGUUUUUAAAUGUACAGUCCAGUAGUGUUAAGUACAUUCACAUUGUUGGGCAAUCCUUCUUCAGAACUUUUUAAGUUUCCCAAACUGAAGCUCUGCGUCUAUUAAGAACAACUCUUUCUUCCAAUCCCCAGCUGUUGGCAACUAUCAUUCUACUUUCUGUCUUUAUGCAUUUAAUAAUUCUACGUACCUCAUAUAAAUGAAAUCAAAUGGUAUUUGUAACUGGCUUAUUUCACUUAGCAUAAUAUCCUCAAGAUUCAGUCAUAUUGUUAUAUGUGUCAUAAAUUGCAUUUGUAAUAUCACAAACUACACCUUGAUAUAUUGUCUACUGAUUAGCAUGGAUUUAUAAUUAUUUUUAUGCUUUGCCUUCUACAUUCUAUAAAAGAAUAAAAAGUUGAGUUAAAAACCAAAAUUAUAAUAAUGAAA
ensembl:lncRNA LINC02817 long intergenic non-protein coding RNA 2817